rnacentral:rRNA from 1 species
GAUCAUGGCUCAGAUUGAACGCUGGCGGAAUGCUUUACACAUGCAAGUCGAACGGCAGCACGAGAGCUUGCUCUUGGUGGCGAGUGGCGAACGGGUGAGUAAUAUAUCGGAACGUAUCCAAUAAUGGGGGAUAACUAAUCGAAAGGUUAGCUAAUACCGCAUACGCCCUACGGGGGAAAGCAGGGGAUCUUCGGACCUUGCGUUAAUGGAGCGGCUGAUAUCUGAUUAGCUAGUAGGUGAGGUAAAGGCUCACCUAGGCUUCGAUCAGUAGCUGGUCUGAGAGGACGACCAGCCACACUGGAACUGAGACACGGUCCAGACUCCUACGGGAGGCAGCAGUGGGGAAUUUUGGACAAUGGGCGCAAGCCUGAUCCAGCCAUUCCGCGUGAGUGAAGAAGGCCUUCGGGUUGUAAACUGCUUUUGUACGGAACGAAAAGGUCUGGGUUAAUACCCUGGGCUCAUGACGGUACCGUAAGAAUAAGCACCGGCUAACUACGUG